rnacentral:rRNA from 1 species
AUGAGACCAGGAGCAGGUUUCAAUGCGACGGCGGCAGCAACGAACGCUGCGGUAGCUCCUCUGGCCGCCGGCGCCGCGCACUCCGCGUGGCACUCGCCGGUGCCGUACCUCUUCGGUGGCCUGGCCCCGAUGCUCGGACUCAUCGCCUUCGCCCUUCUCAUCCUCGCCUGCUCGUACUGGAAGCUGUCCGGGUACCUGGAGGGCAGCGCCGGCCGCGGUGACGAGGAAGGUUCCGCCACCGACGGCGCCAAGCCGGUGGCGUCGGACCUGCCACCAGCAGCGUGGGAGGAGAAAGUACUGGUGGUCAUGGCCGGCGACGUGAAGCCGACGUACCUGGCCACGCCCAUGUCAAGCAGAGACCGUAGCAGCAAGGGAGAAGAGGAAGAGAAGAAGGUGUCCAUGGCCGCCAUGGCUAGCACCAAGGAUGCUGGUAAUAGUGAGCACAGUCAGAAUCGGAGAGAACGAGAUGACCACCACCUCCCCUAG